rnacentral:rRNA from 1 species
UACGUAGGCAGCGAGCGUUGUUCGGAAUUACUGGGCGUAAAGAGUGUGUAGGCGGUGCUCCCAGUCUGUUGUGAAAUCUCCCGGCUUAACUGGGAGGGUGCAGCGGAAACUACCGGGCUAGAGUGUGGUAGGGGAAACUGGAAUUCCUGGUGUAGCGGUGAAAUGCGUAGAUAUCAGGAGGAACACCUAUGGCGAAAGCAGGUUUCUGGGCCAUCACUGACGCUGAGCUGCGAAAGCUAGGGGAGCAAACAGG